rnacentral:rRNA from 1 species
GUUAGUGUCUAAAUAUUCUGACGACACCAAAUCCCAUCUGAACUUGAAAGCUCAGCAGGGUCAGCCUGAUUAGUACCUGGAUGGGAGACUAACAAUGAAUACCAGGUGCUAUAGGCU